rnacentral:rRNA from 1 species
CUGGCGGCGUGCCUAAUACAUGCAAGUCGAACGAGUUCUCGUUGAUGAUCGGUGCUUGCACCGAGAUUCAACAUGGAACGAGUGGCGGACGGGUGAGUAACACGUGGGUAACCUGCCCUUAAGUGGGGGAUAACAUUUGGAAACAGAUGCUAAUACCGCAUAGAUCCAAGAACCGCAUGGUUCUUGGCUGAAAGAUGGCGUAAGCUAUCGCUUUUGGAUGGACCCGCGGCGUAUUAGCUAGUUGGUGAGGUAAUGGCUCACCAAGGCGAUGAUACGUAGCCGAACUGAGAGGUUGAUCGGCCACAUUGGGACUGAGACACGGCCCAAACUCCUACGGGAGGCAGCAGUAGGGAAUCUUCCACAAUGGACGCAAGUCUGAUGGAGCAACGCCGCGUGAGUGAAGAAGGCUUUCGGGUCGUAAAACUCUGUUGUUGGAGAAGAAUGGUCGGCAGAGUAACUGUUGUCGGCGUGACGGUAUCCAACCAGAAAGCCACGGCUAACUACGUGCCAGCAGCCGCGGUAAUACGUAGGUGGCAAGCGUUAUCCGGAUUUAUUGGGCGUAAAGCGAGCGCAGGCGGUUUUUUAAGUCUGAUGUGAAAGCCCUCGGCUUAACCGAGGAAGCGCAUCGGAAACUGGGAAACUUGAGUGCAGAAGAGGACAGUGGAACUCCAUGUGUAGCGGUGAAAUGCGUAGAUAUAUGGAAGAACACCAGUGGCGAAGGCGGCUGUCUGGUCUGUAACUGACGCUGAGGCUCGAAAGCAUGGGUAGCGAACAGGAUUAGAUACCCUGGUAGUCCAUGCCGUAAACGAUGAAUGCUAGGUGUUGGAGGGUUUCCGCCCUUCAGUGCCGCAGCUAACGCAUUAAGCAUUCCGCCUGGGGAGUACGACCGCAAGGUUGAAACUCAAAGGAAUUGACGGGGGCCCGCACAAGCGGUGGAGCAUGUGGUUUAAUUCGAAGCAACGCGAAGAACCUUACCAGGUCUUGACAUCUUUUGAUCACCUGAGAGAUCAGGUUUCCCCUUCGGGGGCAAAAUGACAGGUGGUGCAUGGUUGUCGUCAGCUCGUGUCGUGAGAUGUUGGGUUAAGUCCCGCAACGAGCGCAACCCUUAUGACUAGUUGCCAGCAUUUAGUUGGGCACUCUAGUAAGACUGCCGGUGACAAACCGGAGGAAGGUGGGGAUGACGUCAAAUCAUCAUGCCCCUUAUGACCUGGGCUACACACGUGCUACAAUGGAUGGUACAACGAGUUGCGAGACCGCGAGGUCAAGCUAAUCUCUUAAAGCCAUUCUCAGUUCGGACUGUAGGCUGCAACUCGCCUACACGAAGUCGGAAUCGCUAGUAAUCGCGGAUCAGCACGCCGCGGUGAAUACGUUCCCGGGCCUUGUACACACCGCCCGUCACACCAUGAGAGUUUGUAACACCCGAAGCCGGUGGCGUAACCCUUUUAGGGAGCGAGCC